GGUCUCAGUUCGGAUCGCAGUCUGCAACUCGACUGCGUGAAGGUGGAGUCGCUAGUAAUCGCGGAUCAGCAACGCCGCGGUGAAUGCGUUCCCGGGCCUUGUACACACCGCCCGUCAAGUCAUGAAAGUGGGCAGCACCCGAAGACGGUGGCCUAACCCUUGUGGGGGGAGCCGUCUAAGGUGAGGCUCGUGAUUGGGACUAAGUCGUAACAAGGUACC
rnacentral:rRNA from 1 species